GAUAAACGCUGGCGGCAUGCCUAAUACAUGCAAGUCGAGCGAACGGACGAGAAGCUUGCUUCUCUGAUGUUAGCGGCGGACGGGUGAGUAACACGUGGAUAACCUACCUAUAAGACUGGGAUAACUUCGGGAAACCGGAGCUACUACCGGAUAAUAUUUUGAACCGCAUGGUUCAAAAGUGAAAGACGGUCUUGCUGUCACUUAUAGAUGGAUCCGCGCUGCAUUAGCUAGUUGGUAAGGUAACGGCUUACCAAGGCAACGAUGCAUAGCCGACCUGAGAGGGUGAUCGGCCACACUGGAACUGAGACACGGUCCAGACUCCUACGGGAGGCAGCAGUAGGGAAUCUUCCGCAAUGGGCGAAAGCCUGACGGAGCAACGCCGCGUGAGUGAUGAAGGUCUUCGGAUCGUAAAACUCUGUUAUUAGGGAAGAACAUAUGUGUAAGUAACUGUGCACAUCUUGACGGUACCUAAUCAGAAAGCCACGGCUAACUACGUGCCAGCAGCCGCGGUAAUACGUAGGUGGCAAGCGUUAUCCGGAAUUAUUGGGCGUAAAGCGCGCGUAGGCGGUUUUUUAAGUCUGAUGUGAAAGCCCACGGCUCAACCGUGGAGGGUCAUUGGAAACUGGAAAACUUGAGUGCAGAAGAGGAAAGUGGAAUUCCAUGUGUAGCGGUGAAAUGCGCAGAGAUAUGGAGGAACACCAGUGGCGAAGGCGACUUUCUGGUCUGUAACUGACGCUGAUGUGCGAAAGCGUGGGGAUCAAACAGGAUUAGAUACCCUGGUAGUCCACGCCGUAAACGAUGAGUGCUAAGUGUUAGGGGGUUUCCGCCCCUUAGUGCUGCAGCUAACGCAUUAAGCACUCCGCCUGGGGAGUACGACCGCAAGGUUGAAACUCAAAGGAAUUGAUGGGGACCCGCACAAGCGGUGGAGCAUGUGGUUUAAUUCGAAGCAACGCGAAGAACCUUACCAAAUCUUGACAUCCUUUGACAACUCUAGAGAUAGAGCCUUCCCCUUCGGGGGACAAAGUGACAGGUGGUGCAUGGUUGUCGUCAGCUCGUGUCGUGAGAUGUUGGGUUAAGUCCCGCAACGAGCGCAACCCUUAAGCUUAGUUGCCAUCAUUAAGUUGGGCACUCUAAGUUGACUGCCGGUGACAAACCGGAGGGAGGUGGGGAUGACGUCAAAUCAUCAUGCCCCUUAUGAUUUGGGCUACACACGUGCUACAAUGGACAAUACAAAGGGCAGCGAAACCGCGAGGUCAAGCAAAUCCCAUAAAGUUGUUCUCAGUUCGGAUUGUAGUCUGCAACUCGACUACAUGAAGCUGGAAUCGCUAGUAAUCGUAGAUCAGCAUGCUACGGUGAAUACGUUCCCGGGUCU
rnacentral:rRNA from 1 species